AUGUUUUCUGGCUCCAACAAGACAAACAGAACAACUCAUCAACCCAUCAACAACUCAGCCUCCAUUACCUUUCCUGUGGCAGAAUAUGAACACCAAGGUAGCUACAGCUGUGUGUACCAGGUCAACCGGUGUACAUCCACGUUCACCUCUGCUGCAUCAGCACCCAUCACUGUUGUUGUUAAACAGUCCCUGUUGUUGAUCUUGUCGAUCUCAGGUGGAAUCUUUCUUCUGCUGCUGUUCAUCUUGUUUCUGAUCUGUCUGGUUCAAAGGAGAAGAAAACUCAGGAAUUAUGCGGUGUUUUACGAGACUCAAAGUCUGUCUUCUUCAAGAUACAAUAUAUUUAAAGUACAGAAGUUUGUUCAAAGAGUUCCUUAACUCUGGUUUUAAUGUUUUUCAGGGGCUUCUCAAGAAUGCACCGGAGACAGUGAGGAAGAUUAUGAAAAUCCUGAUGGAGAACACAUUCCAUCAAGACUCACAAAUGAAUCAGAAGACGAAGACAGUAAUGAUUAUGUGAAUGCAAUAUAUGAGGAGAACAUUUAUUAUUCAGAAGCUGAUUCACGAUCCAGAAGAAAGUGUUCCAAUACGAAGAGUGACAGACAGGAGGAGGAGGAAACGGAUGAAGAGGAUGAAGGAACCAGUGAUGAUGAUAAUGACUAUGAGAAUGUAACUGCACAUUUCCAUCUGCCUGUUGAUGAUAUUUAUGUAGAUCCAGUCUUAGAUAGGAGUACUGAUUAUCCAGAACUUGGUUUACAAUUCCAAAGAAAGUGUGUGACUCCUAAGAGUAACAGUCAGGAGGAGGAAACGGAUGAAGAGGAUGAAACAACCAGUGAUGAUGAUAAUGACUAUGAGAAUGUAACUGCAAAUUUCCAUCAACCUGUUGAUGAUACUUAUGUAGAUCCAGUCUUUGAUAGGAGUACUGAUUAUACAGAACUUGAUUAACAAUCUGUCAUGUGUCGUCAGUCUUAUGUUUUGUCCUGAGUUGUGCACUUUUGGUCAAUGUCUGCCACUUGUGUUGUCACUUCCUGUUUUAUUUUGAAACACUAGCACUCCUCUCGUUUUAGGCCUUGUUACUUCCUCUGCUAGUGUGUUUCUCUACAGGCGUGACUGUCUAAUCCUCCCUGAUUGUUUCAACCUGUGAUUCCCUUCCUCAUGUCUUAAAUAGUCUGAGUCUCCCCUUGUCCUGUGCCAGUGUGUUUGGUUGUAUCACAGCAAUUGCCAUUAUCUGAGAUUAAACGCUCUGAAAGUCUGAAUCUGAUUCCAGCCCUGAAUCUGUCCUGACACAAUCCAAUAGAAAGUGUGAGUGCUAAGAGUAAAAGUCAAGACCUAUGAUGAUAAUAAUGAAUAUGUGAACGUAACUAUUUACAACUGCCUGCUGAGAAACAUUUAGAAACAAAGGAG
rnacentral:lncRNA from 1 species